CAAUUUAUUGAGAUAAUAAAUUAAAAUAUUAAUUUAAAAUAAGUAUAAAUAUUUGAUUAUGGUAAUAAAAUUUUAAUAAAAUUAUAUUAUAUAAUUUGAUUUUAAAAUAUUUAUGAUUAGUAGACAAUAUUGAUAAAAUGUUAGUAGCAACAGAUCAGUUUAGGUUAUAAGCUAAUGUUGUGCCAGCAGCUGCGGUUAUACAGCUUAAUGAUAAAAUUUUAGUGGUAAAAAUAAGAUAUUGAAAUAUUAAAUGAGUGGACUUUUAAAAUUUCGGUAGAAUGUAAUUUUUGGUAAGAGAUUUUUAUUAGAUACUUUUAUUUAACAUUAUAAACUAGGAUUAGAUACCCUAUUAUAUGUAGAUAUAAGAAGUGACCGGAGUAUUAGAAUGAAGAUUAUUUGUUUUAAAUGAAAAUGAUUUGGCGGUAUUUUAUUUCUAAUUAGAGGGGUCUGAUUUAUAAAUCGAUAGUCCACGAUAUUAGUAUACUUUAUUUUAGGGUUUGUAUAUCUCCGUUAUUUAAGAGUUUUUAUAGAAAUUUUUAAAAAAAGAUUAGACAGGUCAAGGUGCAGCUUAUAAUGAAGGUGAGGUUGGGCUACAAUUUAUUAAUUUAUACGAAUAAUAGAUUUGAAAUAUUUGUUUGAAGGUGGAUUUAAUAGUAAUAAAUUUUAGAUUAGAGUUGGUGAAGAAUGUGAUGAAAUAUGCACAUAUCGCCCGUCGCUCUUAGUUUAUGUUAAGAUAAGUCGUAACAUAGUUGAUUUAUUGGAAGAUGAAUCUUUAGUUUU
rnacentral:ncRNA from 1 species